UACGUAGGGUGCAAGCGUUGUCCGGAAUUAUUGGGCGUAAAGAGCUCGUAGGCGGUCUGUCGCGUCGAAUGUGAAAACACGAGGCUCAACUUCGUGCCUGCAUUCGAUACGGGCAGACUAGAGUUCGGUAGGGGAGUCUGGAAUUCCUGGUGUAGCGGUGAAAUGCGCAGAUAUCAGGAGGAACACCGGUGGCGAAGGCGGGACUCUGGGCCGAUACUGACGCUGAGGAGCGAAAGCGUGGGGAGCAAACAGGAUUAGAAA
rnacentral:rRNA from 1 species